rnacentral:rRNA from 1 species
GGUGAACGCAGCGGUGCGCCUAACACAUGCAAGUCGAGCGGUAAAAUUUUUUAGCUUGCUAGAAAAUUUGAGAGCGGCGAACGGGUGAGUAACACGUUGAUAUCUGCCCCCAAGUCAGGGAUAGCCAUUGGAAACGAUGAUUAAUACCGGAUAAUCUCUUCGGAGUAAAGAUUUAUUGCUCGGGGAGGAGUCUGCGGUCUAUCAGUUAGUCGGUGAGGUAAUAGCUCACCAAGGCUAUGACGGAUACCUGGUCUGAGAGGAUGAUCAGGCACAAUGGAACUGAGACACGGCCCAUACUCCUACGGGAGGCAGCAGUGAGGAAUCUUCCACAAUGGACGAAAGUCUGAUGGAGCGACACCGCGUGAAGGAUGAAGGCCUAACGGUUGUAAACUUCUUUUCUGAAGGAGCAUAAUGAGAGUACUUCAGGAAUAAGGGACGGCUAAAUACGUGCCAGCAGCCGCGGUAAUACGUAUGUCUCAAGCGUUACCCGGAAUUACUGGGUGUAAAGGGUUCGUAGGUGGUUAGAAAAGUUGGAUAUGAAAGACCGGAGCUCAACUCCGUGUUGGUGUUCAAAACUGUUUAACUAGAAUCAGGGAGAGGUAAGUGGAAUUCUGUGUGUAGGGGUGCAAUCCGUAAU